AACGGGUGAGUAACACGUAGGGAACCUACCUAUACGACGAGGAUAACUGUUGGAAACGACAGCUAAAACUGGAUAGGAUUAUCGAAGGCAUCUUUGGUAAUUUAAAGAUCCUAAGGGAUUACGUAGAGAUGGCCCUGCGGCGCAUUAGCUAGUUGGUGAGGUAACGGCCCACCAAGGCGACGAUGCGUAGCUGAGCUGAGAGGCUAAACAGCCACACUGGGACUGAGACACGGCCCAGACUCCUACGGGAGGCAGCAGUAGGGAAUUUUCGGCAAUGGGGGUAACCCUGACCGAGCAAUGCCGCGUGAAUGAUGAAGGUCUUCGGAUCGUAAAAUUCUGUUAUUGGGGAAGAAUAGUGUGGAGAGGGAAUGAUUCACAUAUGACGGUACCUAAUGAGAAAGCCCCGGCUAACUAUGUGCCAGCAGCCGCGGUAAUACAUAGGGGGCGAGCGUUAUCCGGAAUUAUUGGGCGUAAAGCGUGCGUAGGCGGCUAUUUAAGUCUUAUUUAAAAGCCCACAGCUUAACUGUGGAGGGUGGUAAGAAACUGGAUGGCUUGAAUACAUCAGAGGUAAGUGGAAUUCCAUGUGUAGCGGUGGA
rnacentral:rRNA from 1 species